rnacentral:lncRNA from 1 species
UAGACCAAAAAAGUCUACGUCUAUGAUUACCUCCAAUUGGAAUACCGAGAAAAGUAAAAGGUAUCUUUUCCAAAUUACAAGCCAAAAAAGAAGACGCCGAUUCCAAAAUAAAAUCCUCCACAUGCACACCAUACAACUUACUUUUCUUUAAAUUAAUACACAACCCCGACACCAAUUCAAAACCCCUCAAUAAAGUUUUAAUACACCAUAAGUUUUCCUUAGAU